rnacentral:rRNA from 1 species
GGCCUAACACAUGCAAGUCGAACGUGAAGCGAGGAGCUUGCUCCUCGUGGAAAGUGGCAGACGGGUGAGUAACGCGUGGGAAUUUACCCAGCUCUACGGAAUAACGCAGGGAAACUUGUGCUAAUACCGUAUACGUCCUCCGGGAGAAAGAUUUAUCGGAGUUGGAUGAGCCCGCGUUAGAUUAGUUUGUUGGUGGGGUAACGGCCUACCAAGACUACGAUCUAUAGCUGGUCUGAGAGGAUGAUCAGCCACACUGGGACUGAGACACGGCCCAGACUCCUACGGGAGGCAGCAGUGGGGAAUAUUGCACAAUGGGCGCAAGCCUGAUGCAGCCAUGCCGCGUGAGUGAAGAAGGCCUUAGGGUUGUAAAACUCUUUCACCGGUGAAGAUAAUGACGGUAGCCGGAGAAGAAGCCCCGGCUAACUCCGUGCCAGCAGCCGCGGUAAUACGGAGGGGGCGAGCGUUGUUCGGAAUUACUGGGCGUAAAGCGCGCGUAGGCGGGCUGGUCAGUUGGGGGUGAAAUCCCGAGGCUUAACCUCGGAACUGCCCUCAAUACUGCCAGUCUAGAGUUCGGAAGAGGUAAGUGGAAUUCCUAGUGUA